UACGAAGGGUGCAAGCGUUACUCGGAAUUACUGGGCGUAAAGCGUGCGUAGGUGGUUCGUUAAGUCUGAUGUGAAAGCCCUGGGCUCAACCUGGGAAUGGCAUUGGAUACUGGCGAUCUAGAGUGCGGUAGAGGGCAGUGGAAUUCCCGGUGUAGCAGUGAAAUGCGUAGAGAUCGGGAGGAACACCAGUGGCGAAGGCGGCCAUCUGGAUCAACACUGACGCUGAGGCACGAAAGCGUGGGGAGCAAACAGG
rnacentral:rRNA from 1 species